rnacentral:rRNA from 1 species
AACGCUAGCUACAGGCUUAACACAUGCAAGUCGAGGGGCAGCAUGAACUUAGCUUGCUAAGUUUGAUGGCGACCGGCGCACGGGUGAGUAACACGUAUCCAACCUGCCGAUGACUCGGGGAUAGCCUUUCGAAAGAAAGAUUAAUACCCGAUGGCAUGGUUCUUCCGCAUGGUAGAACUAUUAAAGAAUUUCGGUCAUCGAUGGGGAUGCGUUCCAUUAGGUUGUUGGCGGGGUAACGGCCCACCAAGCCUUCGAUGGAUAGGGGUUCUGAGAGGAAGGUCCCCCACAUUGGAACUGAGACACGGUCCAAACUCCUACGGGAGGCAGCAGUGAGGAAUAUUGGUCAAUGGACGAGAGUCUGAACCAGCCAAGUAGCGUGAAGGAUGACUGCCCUAUGGGUUGUAAACUUCUUUUAUACGGGAAUAAAGUGAGGCACGUGUGCCUUUUUGUAUGUACCGUAUGAAUAAGGAUCGGCUAACUCCGUGCCAGCAGCCGCGGUAAUACGGAGGAUCCGAGCGUUAUCCGGAUUUAUUGGGUUUAAAGGGAGCGUAGGCGGACGCUUAAGUCAGUUGUGAAAGUUUGCGGCUCAACCGUAAAAUUGCAGUUGAUACUGGGUGUCUUGAGUACAGUAGAGGCAGGCGGAAUUCGUGGUGUAGCGGUGAAAUGCUUAGAUAUCACGAAGAACUCCGAUUG